UACGUAGGGUGCAAGCGUUGUCCGGAAUUAUUGGGCGUAAAGAGCUCGUAGGCGGUCUGUCACGUCUGCUGUGAAAACUCGGGGCUUAACCCCGGGCCUGCAGUGGGUACGGGCAGACUAGAGUGCGGUAGGGGAGACUGGAAUUCCUGGUGUAGCGGUGAAAUGCGCAGAUAUCAGGAGGAACACCGGUGGCGAAGGCGGCAUCCUGGACCGACACUGACGCUGAGGCGCGAAAGCUAGGGUAGCAAGCGGG
rnacentral:rRNA from 1 species